GCCUCGGUAGUUUAGCCUGGUUAAGAAUGUAGGCCUCUCAAGCCUAAGAUCCCGGGUUCAAAUCCCGGCCGAGGCA
rnacentral:tRNA from 2 species